UGCAGUAAUAACUUGAUGGGCAAGAUGCCUGCUCACAUAUUUUAUUUAGCAGUUAAGAAAAGGGCUCAUUUGUGUGACACUGGGGGGGGGGGGGCACCAGGGUUCAACCCAGCUGAGGAAUUGGCCCUUGUUUUAAACCAAGGCAGCCUGUGAUGGGGGGAUUCAGGGGGACUGGCUGCCCUCUUCAUACAUGCUACAUUCUCCAGUACAUCAAUCACCAUCUGUACGGAAUAUGUGGAAAUCCUCUUUGACGUGACACCUUCUUCUGUGCAGGGAAGGUAACAACACACACUUCUGACAGUGCGGCAAAUAGUGCCUUUAUUUACAGUUUCGGCACAUAAAACAUGCCGUUUGCAAAAAAAGCUCAGCGCCAUACAGACAUCUGUGGGAUGGUGAGAUGCUUCACGCUGGUCUGGUCCUCUCACAUCUGACAGCACGUCUCAAUCAGUCGGUCUGCCCGCAUCUACUACUAACCCCGUUAUUUCGAAAUCUUUAUUAUCUGCCGGACCUUCUUGACCGGUCCGUGAAAUUUUGUCUGACAUGAAAACGGUCCGUGAGGUAAAAAAGACUUGUGGACACUGAUCUAAACAACUACAAUAGUAGAGUUUAAAAUCAAACUAGUGACAGCAAUAGUGACAAGCAAUGCAUGUUAAUGGAAAUAAAACAGAACACAUCCAGAAGACAACGGAAUAACUGAGCAGCAGCUGAUUUAACACGAGACUCCAAGAUUAAUCUUGGCCCGGCUGUUGGCCCGGCUGUUGGCCCGGCUGUUGGCCCGGCUGUUGGCCCGGCUGUUGGCCCGGUCUGGAGCAGGCGAGCUGCAAAGAAUAAAUUAUCAUGGUUACUUGACUGGGCUUAAUUCAACCUGCUUUUGUGCAACCAAGUCCAAGCUAAAUUCAUCCAGGAUAACGGAGAAUAUCCCGGCUUAAUCCCUUAUCCUGGUUUCGUGCAACAGCCCCCUGAUCAGCCAGUGUGCCAUCCUGGAGUCACGAGGCCCUAUUUGAAACUCCAAACAGUAAUUGCUACAGCGGGGCUGCUAGAUACGUCCAUCGCGAUCGACCAGUCGAUCUCAAAGGCAGCACUAGUUGAUCACGUGCCAUCAAUAAAAAAAUGACGUCCUCGCUUACUAACGGACGGUUUCCUGUCCUCUCAAAGCAACGCAGGCUGACUCCAGUAAGGUAACGAGCCAGAAUGAGUGAGACGCUUGUGACGGUUUCCUCCUUCUGACAGACAAGAGGCUCCUUGUGUUCUUCAUAUCGACUCAUAUCGACAGGUUAGUUGAAAAGUACGUCACGAGUCGGAAAAGUGUGGCCCCCCCUGUGGUAGAGCAUUCAUGUAUCGUUUUGGGGUUUAUCCUAAUGAAGCACGCAAUAUCAAACACCCUCGUAAAUGGGAAAACAUCCAUGGCUUCCCUAAAACUGAAGACCGCUGUAAUCGGUAAAUGCUCCUCAUAGAUCAGAUUUUAUUUGUUUGUACCAACAGAAACUUUUUUCCACAUCAGCUGCUGUAAGGAAGAACCCACUGACUUCGAGUCCUUCUGAACGCGAGGUGGAAAUGUUCAUGAAGAGGUGGCUACAACUGGCAGCGGAACGAGAAGGGAGCAGAAGACGGCCAGUCCUUGUAGCUCCAUGAACAACUAACGUUGAUUAAUGCAAUAAAAUAUUACAAAUUUGAGAGAGUAAAAUAUAUUGUUUUACAAAAACUGCAAAAUACGAAUUAAAGUUUGUUAAUAAAGUAUUUGUUUCGGUUUUUGACUAUCAGGUGUAAUUUGUUUGGCAGUAUCCUCUGUUCCUUAAUGGGUUUUUGUUUAUUUCUUUAAUCUGUCUUUUUGAAAAAGUCAUAAACAUGACAUUUUUGAUUGAUAUUUUCUUUAGAUUUUAAACACAUAAGAAUAUUUAGCAUUUAAAAACUGCAGCUCAGCAAAAUUGUAUCGUUAAUUGACAGAAAAAUCAAGUAUCACAUUUCAGCUUGGUUGCCUUGGUCAGCUUGGUAAGACACAUGAUGAAACAAAUGCAAAAAUGCCAUAUUGGGAGCCCAACAGGUAGUCAUGAGGCACCUCCCUGGGCGGUGCAGUUCCUCAGUGCUGGUGGAGGGCAUGGGCACAUCGCCAGCAGGCCACUUCCGGGCGAGAUGUCCUAACUGGCCACACCAAAAACACCUCCCCUCAGACCUGUCGGGUAGUGGACGUGGCAGGGUUCUCCGAGCCGGGCGAGGAGGGGUUGUCGGUGACUGGGCCGGAGUCAGAACCUCACAUCUUCGGGGAGUAGAGCUUGUCCCUACCAUCAUCUGCUGGCCAACCCGGUGGUUCUCCAGUAGGUUAAUCAGCUCGUCUACUGACCGUGGGUGGUUCGGGGCUGCCCAUCGCUUGGCGUCGGGAGGCAGGGCUCUGAUGCAGCGGUCAAUAACGACACGGUCGAUGGCAGCUGGACCCUCCCCGGUUACCAACCAGCUGCGUGUAAGCCUCCCCAAGCGUACCACCUGGCUCCCACGGGACCCUGGGGUUCGUACACCCAAUCAUGGACCCGCUGGGCGCGGCCGGCUAAAUUGUGCCCAUAGUAGGCGAGGAUGGCCCCCUUCACCGUUGGGUCUGUCACCUCCCUUGUUCCGAGGUCUUUUUAGUUGUUUUCCAUAAUCUGAGCCAAUGGAAGCAUGUAGAUGUUGAGCAGAAGGGGCCCCAGUAUUGAACCUUGGGGAACACUACAUAUCAUUUUCUUUAGCUCGGAUGUGUAAUUAGCUACAGACACAAAGUAUUUUCGGUCUUUCAAAUAGGAUUCAAACCGGUUAAGUGCUGUGCCAGAGUCCUACCCAGUUGAUUAGUCUAUCCAGUAGUAUGUCAUGGUCGACCGUGUCAAAUGUGCUGAGAUCCAGUAAUACUAAAGACUGAAAUUCUGCCCUUGUCUGUAUUUAAGUGGAUCUCGUUGAAAACCAGCAGUUGAAAAGAGCAGUUUCAGUACUGUGGUGCCGUCGAAAGCCUGACUGGAAGACAUCAAAACCGCUAUUAAAAACUAAUAGAGAUACAGAAACACCAGGGGAGGCGGUUACACUCCUGCUACACCGUUCACUUUCCAAGGUCAGCGCUGUGAGACAAACAAAGACAUCCUUGAUUUGAGAGUCCAACUCAGACACAUGGACAUUCAAAAAAACAUUACAAAAAAUCAAAGAAGCAUAUAUAGUAACAAAAAAUACUAUCAAUCAUUUUCAAAUAGUAUUGAUGGGAGUAUAACAAUGUACAUUUUCCCAGUCAAGCACAUUGUUCAAGGGCCAUCAAAUUAUGUUGUGGAUUCAGUGAGCUUUAGACUUGAGGCCUCUAAUCUGUCACACAGGCCUGUGGGGGUGAUCAGAUAUGUUCAGUCCUUAAACAUACUUCCUGUCAGUCAUGCUGUAUUUCAAAUGAUCACUGACAAUGGCCAAAUGUUGGGUUUGUAAGCCUUCUAUCUUUAGAAUGGAGGCAGCUAAAACGCUGCACUUCACUGGUUGUCAUGGAAACAGUGCCUAACGGCACUAGAUUGAUGUGUUGAGGGCGAUGAUGAAAUGAGGAAAGGGACUACUAUGAAUCACUAACUGCAUCAAUGAUGUUCUUAUGGUCUCGUUAGAUCAAUUGAAUCAUAUCAAGACCUAAAAGCUUUAAAGUUCCGAUGCAUAAUACAUUUUAUGAGAAUAUCACAAAAUGCUGGGAAGCUAACCCCUGAGUGGACCUUGUAGUUUCCAUUAAUUAAAUGAUGAACAAUUAUAUAAUAGCCUCAAAUAUACGAUAGUAAUGGUAAAUGGUAAAUGGCCUGUACCUGUAUAGCGCUUUUCUAGUCUUCUGACCACUCAAAGCGCUUUAACACUACAUGACAUCAUUCACCCAUUCACACCCAUUCAUACACUGAUGACAGGAGAACCAUACACAGUGACACCUGCCAUCAGUAACUAACAUCCACACACUGUAGUCGCAGCUACAGGAGCCAUGUUGGGUUAAGUGUCUUGCCCAAGGACACAACGACAUGCAGGUUAGCCGGGCCUGGAAUCGAACCGACAACCCUCUGAUUGGAGGACGACCGUGCUCCCCACUCACCCACAGUCGCCCAUAGUAACAUCAGUGUUAGCCAGACAGCUAAUUGAAAGGACCACACAGAAAUACAAACUAGACAAAGUCUUACAUUAUUCACAACAGCAUCCGCAUGCACAAUACUAAACAAAGAAUAUGCUAAAGAAAAAAAAUAGCUAAAUACAACUAAUAAUGAUUGGAAGUCUUUAUGAGCGUUGAGAUGUAAUGUGAAAACAACAUGUACGCCACAAAGAAAAUGUGUGGAAUUCAAUUGAAAACACAUAAGCAGUUUGUGGUUUGGCACUGUGGUUUCGGGGGCAGAGAUGGGGAGUGGCUCCGGGACGGUGCCAGGUGGAGGCGGAAUUGGCCUCAGCUGCAUUCAAUGUCUACUUAAGCAGCAGUGUCUAUGGAGGCUGAAUUCAAUGUCUACUUAAGCAGCAGUGGCUAUGGAGGCUGCAUUCAAUUUCUAUUUCAGCGGCAGUGGCUAUGGAGGCUGUAUUCAAUGUCUCGCUGUUGUUCUUUUUGACAGUAGGGGGCGGAGCCAGUCACCAUGGUCUCUACAUCUGAUUGGUUACAAACCCCGUCUUUGGAUUGGCUGGAGCGAUGCAUUCACACAACUAUAGAAGCCCAUUUCCGCACUGAAGAAAGGGGAUAGAAAGUCUAAAUUAUGAGAUAAAACGUUGUCAAAACACAAACGCCACCUUUAUGUAACCGUAGUGGAGCGUAGAUGACAACCAGCUACAAGCAUCAUUUACCAUCAUUACCAGCACAUUAAGACCAACGCGUCCAGCUCGCAGACCGGUCCGUCAGUCUGAAUCUGUGAAUAUCUAAUAACUUUACCGAACUAUGGAGGAGCCUGCGCAUAUCUUACCUCAUUGUUUAGAUUUUCCGAAAAUCAAUCCGAAUUGAAAGUUGGCGAGAUAUUCACAGAUUCGGACUUCAUUUUACCAAUACGGACCGGUCUGCGAGCUGGACGCAUUGGUCUAAUUGUGCGGCCGACGUACCGCUAAUGGUGGUAAAUUAUGGUUGUAGCUGGUUGAAAAUGUUGAAAAGUCAUCACAUGUCCUUUGCAGCCAUUCUGAUUGUAUAAGUGAGCACUAUGUCUCUGGCACGUAUGAAGAAAUACAUUGAAGAAAAUAUAUUUAUUAAAAGAUCUCCGCAACCUGGAUUCAAACCCCCGCGAACCAAAUGACAAUACGCCGUUGGACAGCUGGUCUACGCCGUCAACCAACCGAGCUUUAGAAGUUCAUGCCACACGUCAUGUAGAGAUGCUUCAGCUGGUCUCCAUCGGGGAAAAUAUCUCCUUGAAUGCCGUAUCCAGGCCUGACAUGAUGCCGUAUCCAGGCCUGACAUGAUGCCGUAUCCAGGCCUGACAUGAUGCCUGGUCAAUAUCUCCACAUGCCUCCUCCAUUGCCUGUAAAAGGGCUACCUGUUGAUGAGGAUGACGGUCGUACACCUUCCAGCGCCAGGCAGAGAAGAACUCCUCGAUGGGAUUUAAGAAUGGAGAGUAUGGAGGGAGGUUUAGUGCCAUGAAGAAUGGGUGGUCUGUAAACCACUUGCGGACCAAAGCAGCCCUAUGGAAACAAACUGUUAAUAGGAAGGCUUACUCCUUUGGCCUACCUGUACGGCGGAAUAAUAAUACCAGAGGAUGAACGGACGUCACGUCCAGGCGUUCAUCUCUUCAGCCAUCUUCGUGGCAUUGUUUAUUACAGGCACAACGUGCUAAACUGCCCGCUCUCGGGAGAGACAGGUAGGGAGAGAAAAAGGGGCGGAAACAUUGCACUUAUAUGGAAGUGGUGCUAUCGAUAUCACAUGACUCCAGGCCAGUUACAUGCAUCCAUACACUCUUAACACUAGCAUUGUCCCAUAUGAUGACAUAUCGGGUAUGCUCUGGUCUCUGAACAGUGGGCAUUUCAUGUAAGGUGUCCAGGAAUGCAAUAAUGUGUGCAGUGUUGUAUGGGCCUAUGGUUGCGUGAUGGUGAACAACACCAGUUUGGCUUAUAGCUGCACACAUGGUUAUGUUACCACCACGUUGUCCUGGGACAUUGAUGAUGUCACGGUGUCCAAUAAUGUUCCUGCCACGUCUCCUGGUUUUACCGAGGUUAAAACCGGCCGAAUCUACAAAAAGUAGCUCAUGUCCCAUGGCAUCUGCUUCUAGUUCCAUCACUCUCUGGACAAGACAAAUGCAACACAUCAGGCCCAUGCACAGCACUACGGUAUGCACGUCCAAAUUCAGAACCAAUGACACUAUAGCUUACCUGCACAGAAUCAUAUCGCAGUUGCUUUACACGUUCUGUGUUUCUCUCGAAAGGAACUCUGUAAAUUUGCUUCAUUCUUAUUCUGUGGCGCGCAAGUACACGACUUGGCGCAGAAAUGCUUACACUGUGUAUAUUUUGAAAGAUGGUGUCAUUAUCAAUAAUGCGCUGCUGUAUUUCGCGCAGUCUUAUUGCAUUAUUGGCAAUCACCAUGUUCACUAUAUGGGUCUCUUGCUCUGGAGUGAACAUUCUUCCUCUGCCCCCAACAUCUGGACGUCUAGCAAUUCUGUAAAGUAACAAUUUCAGUAUUUAUGGUAUUAUGUAUGGUACUGUUGUGGUUCUCAUUAAGAGUAUGGCAGUGCUACAAAGUACUUACCGAUUCUCUAUCGCUAUUUGCUGAUUGCAAAGUCAACUAAUUAUCUAAAACAGUUUUCACAUGUGAAAGUGUGCCAGACAGUUGGCAAAAUAGUGUUAAUGAUAACCAUACAUGUGUAUAAUUUUGCUAGGAGUGUGUUGGAAAUUUGGUAAUUGAGUGUAAGCAGUGAGUUGUGUUUAAAGUUCUGCAAAAAGAGUGUUGUGCAGUGAGUUGUGCCUACAGUUUUGCAAAGUGUGUGUUACAAAAUUGCAAACUGAGUGCAAAGCAGUGUUUGUGCUUUUAGUUUUGCAAACUCAGUGAGUGGUUUUGCUAUACGUAUUAAUAGUUUUGGAAAUUGUGCUACAAGAAUCACGAUUAGCGCUUGAGUAUUCAGAAAACUAUGAAUAUAUUUAGUAGCAAAGUCAUUGUGCCAUUUAGCUUUUCCACCAAGCUGUUGGUCUGAGGGUGGUGGGGAGCACAGAGGCUUCAGGGGAAAACAUCUCAUUACCAAGGUGCUUUUUCCAUUGUUGAUGUGACAAAAACAUGUUAUGUCUCAGAAUUCAACUUACUUCGGUCACGGUCGGUCAAGAUGUGUUUUGGGGCGCCGUACUUGUAGAAGAAGUCCAUUAUGCAGAGUGUGACUUCUUCUGCUCCAUUUGUUCUUAGCAGGUAGUCUUCUAUCCACUUUGUAAAGUAGUCCACAUCACACAAAUGUACAUGUAACCAUUGUUGGUGCAUUUCAGCUUGCCAACUAGUUCCAUUCCCACAAGCUCAAAG
ensembl:lncRNA